rnacentral:pre_miRNA from 1 species
ACUGGGGGGUGGGAGGGCCCUCAGCCUGGAUUGCGAGAGGGUGCAGGCCAGGCCGAGGGACACCACCAGUGCACA